rnacentral:rRNA from 1 species
UGGGGAAUAUUGCACAAUGGGCGAAAGCCUGAUGCAGCAACGCCGCGUGAGGGACGACGGCCUUCGGGUUGUAAACCUCUUUUAGCAAGGAAGAAGCGAAAGUGACGGUACUUGCAGAAAAAGCGCCGGCUAACUACGUGCCAGCAGCCGCGGUAAUACGUAGGGCGCAAGCGUUAUCCGGAAUUAUUGGGCGUAAAGAGCUCGUAGGCGGUUUGUCGCGUCUGCUGUGAAAACCCGAGGCUCAACCUCGGGCCUGCAGUGGGUACGGGCAGACUAGAGUGCGGUAGGGGAGAUUGGAACUCCUGGUGUAGCGGUGGAAUGCGCAGAUAUCAGGAAGAACACCGAUGGCGAAGGCAGAUCUCUGGGCCGUAACUGACGCUGAGGAGCGAAAGGGUGGGGAGCAAACAGGCUUAGAUACCCUGGUAGUCCACCCCGUAAACGUUGGGAACUAGUUGUGGGGUCCAUUCCACGGAUUCCGUGACGCAGCUAACGCAUUAAGUUCCCCGCCUGGGGAGUACGGCCGCAAGGCUAAAACUUGAAAUGAAUUGACGGGGUCAUAACUGUUUCCU